GAGUUUGAUCCUGGCUCAGGACGAACGCUGGCGGCGUGCCUAAUACAUGCAAGUAGAACGCUGAAGGAGGAGCUUGCUUCUCUGGAUGAGUUGCGAACGGGUGAGUAACGCGUAGGUAACCUGCCUGGUAGCGGGGGAUAACUAUUGGAAACGAUAGCUAAUACCGCAUAAGAGUGGAUGUUGCAUGACAUUUGCUUAAAAGGUGCACUUGCAUCACUACCAGAUGGACCUGCGUUGUAUUAGCUAGUUGGUGGGGUAACGGCUCACCAAGGCGACGAUACAUAGCCGACCUGAGAGGGUGAUCGGCCACACUGGGACUGAGACACGGCCCAGACUCCUACGGGAGGCAGCAGUAGGGAAUCUUCGGCAAUGGACGGAAGUCUGACCGAGCAACGCCGCGUGAGUGAAGAAGGUUUUCGGAUCGUAAAGCUCUGUUGUAAGAGAAGAAUGAGUGUGAGAGUGGAAAGUUCACACUGUGACGGUAUCUUACCAGAAAGGGACGGCUAACUACGUGCCAGCAGCCGCGGUAAUACGUAGGUCCCGAGCGUUGUCCGGAUUUAUUGGGCGUAAAGCGAGCGCAGGCGGUUAGAUAAGUCUGAAGUUAAAGGCUGUGGCUUAACCAUAGUAGGCUUUGGAAACUGUUUAACUUGAGUGCAAGAGGGGAGAGUGGAAUUCCAUGUGUAGCGGUGAAAUGCGUAGAUAUAUGGAGGAACACCGGUGGCGAAAGCGGCUCUCUGGCUUGUAACUGACGCUGAGGCUCGAAAGCGUGGGGAGCAAACAGGAUUAGAUACCCUGGUAGUCCACGCUGUAAACGAUGAGUGCUAGGUGUUAGACCCUUUCCGGGGUUUAGUGCCGUAGCUAACGCAUUAAGCACUCCGCCUGGGGAGUACGACCGCAAGGUUGAAACUCAAAGGAAUUGACGGGGGCCCGCACAAGCGGUGGAGCAUGAGGUUUAAUUCGAAGCAACGCGAAGAACCUUACCAGGUCUUGACAUCCCUCUGACCGCUCUAGAGAUAGAGCUUUCCUUCGGGACAGAGGUGACAGGUGGUGCAUGGUUGUCGUCAGCUCGUGUCGUGAGAUGUUGGGUUAAGUCCCGCAACGAGCGCAACCCCUAUUGUUAGUUGCCAUCAUUUAGUUGGGCACUCUAGCGAGACUGCCGGUAAUAAACCGGAGGAAGGUGGGGAUGACGUCAAAUCAUCAUGCCCCUUAUGACCUGGGCUACACACGUGCUACAAUGGCUGGUACAACGAGUCGCAAGCCGGUGACGGCAAGCUAAUCUCUUAAAGCCAGUCUCAGUUCGGAUUGUAGGCUGCAACUCGCCUACAUGAAGUCGGAAUCGCUAGUAAUCGCGGAUCAGCACGCCGCGGUGAAUACGUUCCCGGGCCUUGUACACACCGCCCGUCACACCACGAGAGUUUGUAACACCCGAAGUCGGUGAGGUAACCGUAAGGAGCCAGCCGCCUAAGGUGGGAUAGAUGAUUGGGGUGAAGUCGUAACAAGGUAGCCGUAUCGGAAGGCGCGGCUGGAUCACC
rnacentral:rRNA from 1 species